UUUGGUGAAGGUAAAUUCCUCUGCUCUAAGCAAACUCUAGGUGCUGGAGCUGCUGUGACUUGCACAGCCUUUGUCUGGUUUUGCUCCUACCUCUGAGAAACAGUUGGUGGCAGCACCUGAACAGGAGAGAGCAAAGCUGCAAAUGUUUCCUGGCCUGCUCUCUAAAGCCUGAAAUGAGAGUCUCAAUUUUCUGUAGUCUGUGCUGGGUGUAAUUGGCAGGGGUUUGGUAGCAUGGGGGGCUGUGGGGCCAAGCUGUGUGAGAAUUGGUCAGGGAGCUGGUCAAAGAUGUUUCCAGCGAGCUCUGGAAACAGAGCAGCUGCCUGCCAAAACUUCAGCAGGUCAUGGGAGCUUGGGGCACCUCUGAAGAGACAGGUUUGGGACAGGGCAGGAGAUUCGAAAGGAGACACUGGAGCAGAGAAGGAGGCAGCAAAAGUGGAGAUACAUGACACGUAGGGAAAGAUUGACAGGGAUGUUCUUCAAUGGAAAAUGUACAAUGUGGUCAAAGAGCUGAAGAGCACAUACAGAGCUCCUUUUGCAAAUUCUGCUUUGAAGCCUGCUACAUACAGUAAUUACAGAGGAUAAAGCUGGUGAAAUGCUGUCUUCUUCUUUACAAAGGGAGAAAUGAGCAGAAGUCUGAACUUUUCAAGGCUUGCUUUUUGAAAGUUAUGUGAAGCUCUGUGUGCCUGGAGUAUAAUGCUGAGAACACCAUUCUGGGUGCCUUAUAGGAUAAAACAUACCUUGCUAUGUGACUUGGUAAGAAGCAGGUUAAAUGCUUUCAAAAUACGGUCUGCUAAGCAGCUUUCCUCUUGGCUUCAAAGCUACAGGGUUGAUUUUUGGGGAGAGGGGAUGCUGGUAAAGGGUGGAGGUGAAUUGUUUACUAUCAUCUCAUCAAAUAUCUGAUGGAAUAUGUAGCAUUGCUAGAAGGUCAGAGAAGAACAGAAGAGAACAGAAAGAGCAGAGGGAUCGUUAUUUUUUCAGUGGAAGCAGAAUUAGGCCACUGUCCAACAACACUUUUGCAAAUGAUUUAUUUAAGACUUCUGAGCUAAUUUUACUGAUGUUAUUCAGUAUCUUGUUUCAGAACUAGCUCCGUUUAAAUCAGAGUAUAAGUGUUUAAAACUUUUGUGAUGUAUUUCUUCAUCUUGAAAUAUUCAUGUUGUAAUUCUUUUUGUUCUUGUAUUUAGUACAUGUACAGUACAUAAAAUAUAUUGGAUAAAUAUUGGACCUUUCAAGUAUUUCUCUGCUAUACUGGUCUCCUUGUGUUCCCUGCUGCAAUUUGGCUUACUCUCCUCUUUGUAGUAAGAUUUAUAGUUGGAAACUUUUUGUGGUGUUUUUUUUUUUUUUUUUUACCCUUUCUCUACAAAGAAAAAUGGGCAACAUGUAGCCAUUCAGUAAAGCUAAAUCUGAUUUUUGUAGGAAUUAUGCAAAAAAAAAAAUCUAACUUC